UUGAUUUUCUGUAUUUUUCAAAGAAGAAAAAAGGAUUAACACCAGUAAAAAUGAAGGGUACUCUUAAUGAUGGAAGAGUAAUUGCCGUGAAGCAAUUGUCUGCAGCAUCCUAGCAAGGAAAAAAUGAGUUUCUCCCUUGUUGUGUGUUCUUGCAGGCAACUGACUAAGAAGAAGUUGAGGCAGAGAAUUUGGAACCUGCUAAGUACAUUGUGUAUUCAAAUGGUUUUUGAUUUGGUCGACCCACAAAUAGAAGUCCUGAAACACUGCCAAGUGUUAAAUAAGGUACUCGAUAAGAAUGGGGCUGCUCCAGCUAGAAGUGUU